rnacentral:rRNA from 1 species
AAAAACUUUUCAGCUAGAGUAUGAUAGAGGAAAGCAGAAUUUCUAGUGUAGAGGUGAAAUUCGUAGAUAUUAGAAAGAAUACCAAUUGCGAAGGCAGCUUUCUGGAUCAUUACUGACACUGAGGAACGAAAGCAUGGGUAGCGAAGAGGAUUAGAUACCCUCGUAGUCCAUGCCGUAAACGAUGUGUGUUAGACGUUGGAAAUUUAUUUUCAGUGUCGCAGGGAAACCGAUAAACACACCGCCUGGGGAGUACGACCGCAAGGUUAAAACUCAAAUGAAUUGACGGGGACCCGCACAAGUAGUGGAGCAUGUGGUUUAAUUCGAAGCAACGCGCAGAACCUUACCAACCCUUGACAUCCUAGGACCACCCGAGAGAUCGGGCUUUCACUUCGGUGACCUAGUGACAGGUGCUGCAUGGCU